rnacentral:rRNA from 1 species
UGCCAGCAUCCGCGGUACUCCUUAUUUCUCGAGCGUUACCCGGAUUCACUGGGCGUAAAGGGUGCGUAGGCGGAUAGAUGUGUGAGGUGUGAAAUCUCGGGGCUCAACCUCGAAACUGCGCCUCAAACUGUCUAUCUAGAGUAUUGGAGAGGUAAGCGGAAUUUCUGGUGUAGCGGUGAAAUGCGUAGAUAUCAGAAGGAACACCAAUGGCGAAGGCAGCUUACUGGACAAUAACUGACGCUGAGGCACGAAAGCAUGGGUAGCGAAAGGGAUUAGAUA